UGGGAUCAAAACUUGUUGCUGGCAAACCGGUUGCACACAGUUUAGUCAUCUGAUAGAUAGUCUAUACUUUUUUUAGUAAGUAAAAGGCCUUUUAGUGUAUCUCUACAACCAUACACCUUCAGGUCGUGAAAUGUCAACUUAGAUUUGCUUGAUUAUCCGCACAUCAUUUGUUAGAAAAAUCAAGUUAAACUGUAUGUACAGUAGAAAAUAAAACACCUGUGAGGCUUCAUGUUCAUGUUAUGCCAUCCCCCCCC